rnacentral:rRNA from 1 species
AGAGUUUGAUCCUGGCUCAGAACGAACGCUGGCGGCAUGCCUAACACAUGCAAGUCGAACGAAGCCUUCGGGCUUAGUGGCGCACGGGUGCGUAACGCGUGGGAAUCUGCCCUUGGGUACGGAAUAACAGUGAGAAAUUACUGCUAAUACCGUAUGAUGUCUUCGGACCAAAGAUUUAUCGCCCAGGGAUGAGCCCGCGUAGGAUUAGCUAGUUGGUGAGGUAAAGGCUCACCAAGGCUACGAUCCUUAGCUGGUCUGAGAGGAUGAUCAGCCACACUGGGACUGAGACACGGCCCAGACUCCUACGGGAGGCAGCAGUGGGGAAUAUUGGACAAUGGGCGAAAGCCUGAUCCAGCAAUGCCGCGUGAGUGAAGAAGGCCUUCGGGUUGUAAAGCUCUUUUACCCGGGAAGAUAAUGACCGUACCGGGAGAAUAAGCCCCGGCUAACUCCGUGCCAGCAGCCGCGGUAAUACGGAGGGGGCUAGCGUUGUUCGGAAUCACUGAGCGUAAAGCGUGCGUAGGCGGCCAUUCAAGUCAGAGGUGAAAUCCCAGGG